rnacentral:rRNA from 1 species
AUAGCCUACGGGGCGCAGCAGUGAGGAAUAUUGGUCAAUGGUCGGGAGACUGAACCAGCCAAGCCGCGUGAGGGAUGAAGGUACAGAGUAUCGUAAACCUCUUUUGUCAGGGAACAAAGGCGGGGACGCGUCCCCGGAUGAGUGUACCUGAAGAAAAAGCAUCGGCUAACUCCGUGCCAGCAGCCGCGGUAAUACGUAGGGGGCAAGCGUUAUCCGGUUUUACUGGGUGUAAAGGGAGCGUAGACGGCAUAGCAAGUCUGAAGGGAAA